AGCAGACGGAGUCUGAGCGUCGCGUCGGUGGCAGGACUCCUGAAUAUAUUUCAAAACUGAACCAUUUCAACCCAACUGAAGUAUUCUGCCUUCUUAGCGGUACCAGUCCGGUUUAGGAGAGCCAAGCCGACUCCUCUGCCCUUGGAUCCUGGCUCAGUACCCAGGGUGAAUGAGAUCACUAAGCUGAAAGAAGGCUAUAUUUGAUGAAGGCACACUUGUAACUUGUAGAUCAGCCAUCAUGGCGAACCUUGGCUACUGGCUGCUGGCCCUCUUUGUGACUACAUGUACUGAUGUUGGCCUCUGCAAAAAGCGGCCAAAGCCUGGAGGGUGGAACACUGGUGGAAGCCGGUACCCUGGGCAGGGAAGCCCUGGAGGCAACCGUUACCCACCUCAGAGUGGUGGUACCUGGGGGCAGCCCCAUGGUGGUGGCUGGGGACAACCUCAUGGUGGUGGCUGGGGACAACCUCAUGGUGGUGGCUGGGGUCAGCCCCAUGGCGGGGGCUGGAGUCAAGGAGGGGGUACCCAUAAUCAGUGGAACAAGCCCAGCAAGCCAAAAACCAACCUCAAGCAUGUGGCAGGGGCUGCCGCAGCUGGGGCAGUAGUGGGGGGCCUUGGUGGCUACAUGUUGGGGAGUGCCAUGAGCAGGCCCAUGCUCCAUUUUGGCAACGACUGGGAGGACCGCUACUACCGAGAAAACAUGUACCGUUACCCUAACCAAGUGUACUACAGGCCGGUGGAUCAGUACAGCAACCAGAACAACUUCGUGCACGACUGUGUCAAUAUCACCAUCAAGCAGCAUACAGUCACCACCACCACCAAGG
rnacentral:lncRNA from 1 species